AAAAAUGGAAAAGAAGAGAGUCCCUUUUUCUUUGUUACAAACAGUGAAGUGGGAGAUGGAUUGGGGACGGGCGUGUUUGCAGGCCGGGGUGACUAGCAAACAUGGAACCACAUCCCGCCCUACCUUAUCGUGGCUCCUCGUUGUUGUGGCCACCGUUCCCUGCCAAUAAACCCAAUUCGAUUCAUCUCCUCCCUUCUUCCUGUGGAUUCGUCGACGCUACUUCUCCUAUCCUCCACCUCCGCCGAUCGUCCAUUUGUGCUCCUCCUACGAAACCAUCGCGAUUGAGCUACUUCUCCCGCCGAACCGCUAGGGCCAGCCCUCCUCCUCCUCCUCCUUCGGAGGAUCCAAAUACAAUCGCCGGCAUACAAGCAACGCUGUCAAGGAUCCAGGAUAGGCUGCGAAUCUUCUUUGCUGUGCUUUUCUGGAUGUCAUUGUUCUUCUGGGGCAGCGCAUGGGAUGGGAGAAAUGAUGCUAGAAAGAAGAAGGGACCAUGGUUCAGAAAAUGAAUUUUCAAUGAUCCUUUUAUCCGAUUCGUGUGACUAGCAAAAUGACUGAAAAGCUUCUUUUCUCAUGCAGCAUAAACAAAUUCACUGAUGUUUAUAUGUGCCUGUACCGGUGUGUGAAUUGGUUUUGUAAUCUAGACAAUAUCUGUAUCAACAGGCUAAGUGGUCAUCAAUUUGCUUGUAUUCUAGGAAAAGCUUUAUUCUUAGUUGUAAAUUUGUUUUCUUCACAAUGCUAUGAUCAAGUUGUUUACUCUUUUCCA